rnacentral:rRNA from 1 species
GACGAACGCUGGCGGUAUGCUUAACACAUGCAAGUCGAACGAGACGAGAUGGAAUGAACCUUCGGGGGAAUGAAAUCUUAGAAAGUGGCGAACGGGUGAGUAACGCGUGGGUAACCUGCCCUAUGGAAAGGAAUAGCCUCGGGAAACUGGGAGUAAUGCCUUAUAAUAUACAUUUGUCGCAUGGCAGAUGUAUUAAACGCUCCGGUGCCAUAGGAUGGACCCGCGUCCCAUUAGCUAGUUGGUGGGAUAACAGCCCACCAAGGCGACGAAGGGUGACCGGGCUGAGAGGGCGAACGGUCCCACUGGAACUGAGACACGGUCCAGACUCCUACGGGAGGCAGCAGUGGGGAAUAGUGCGCAAUGGGGGAAACCCUGACGCAGCAAUACCGCGUGAGUGAAGAAGGUUUUCGGAUCGUAAAGCUCUGUUAUUGGGGAAGAACAAAGACGGUACCCAAGAAGAAAGUCCCGGCUAACUACGUGCCAGCAGCCGCCGUAA